UUUAGUGUCAAGGUUAAGACAUAGUCAGGUGAACUAGCACCCAAAGUACAUGUGCAGGCAGCUGGAAAACUCCAUCACUGGAGUCCAGUGCCUAGGCCAAAGGCCAGGGAACACCCAGGGCUCUAGCUGCAGAAGCUGGAAGGGACAGAGCAUGAAUUCUACUGGGCGUGUAAGAGCAUCACAAAGGAAGUUUUUGUGUACUCAGUUUCUCUACCAGAUAAUAAGGAGAGUUGUAGUCAGG
rnacentral:lncRNA from 1 species